UCGACUGUUUUACCAAAAACAUAGCAUAUAUAAAAACUUUAUGUGUGGGACCUGGUCAAUGGAAAUUAAGAAAAAAAAAUUAAUUUUUAAAUUCAUGUCUUAGCGUGAGGAUAAUAAAGUAGCAUAAUAAUUUGAUAUUUAAUUGGUGUCUGGAAUGAAAGGUGAAACGAUUGUAACAUUGUUUCAAAUUUAUAAAAAAAAAUUAAAUUAAUAGUUAAGAUUCUAUUAUAAAAAAUUAAGACAAGAAGACCCUAUAAACUUUUACUAAAAUCAAUUUUUAAUAAUUAAUUUAAAAAAUUGAUAGAUAGUUUAACUGGGACAGUUAUCUUUUAUAAUAAAAACAAAGAUUUUUUUUAAGUAUUAAAUAAAAUUAACAAAUUUUAUAAAGAUUUGACCUUAUAAAUUAAAUUAAAUUUAUAACUUAAAAAAUAAAAAGUACUUUAGGGAUAACAGAGUAAUUUUGAAACAGAGAUGGAAUCAAAUUUGAAGUUUGCUACCUCGAUGUUGAAUUUAGAUAUCCCUCAAUAGAAGAAGAUUGAAAAGGUUAGACUGUUCGUCUAUUAAAAUCUUACAUGAUUU
rnacentral:rRNA from 1 species